UCAAUAGCGUAUAUUAAAGUUGUUGCAGUUAAAAAGCUCGUAGUUGGACUUCUGGUGGGAGCGACCGGUCCCGCGCUCUGCGUGGGUACUUGAGUCGUCUCCGGCCAUCCUUGGGGAGAGCCAGUCUGGCAUUAAGUUGUCGGGCUGGGGAUGCCCAUCGUUUACUGUGAAAAAAUUAGAGUGUUCAAAGCAGGCUUAUGCCGCUGAAUAUAUUAGCAUGGAAUAAUAAGAUAGGACCUUGGUACUAUUUUGUUGGUUUGUGCACCGAGGUAAUGAUUAAUAGGGACAGUUGGGGGUAUUCGUAUUCCAUUGUCAGAGGUGAAAUUCUUGGAUUUCUGGAAGACGAACUACUGCGAAAGCAUUUACCAAGGAUGUUUUCAUUAAUCAAGAACGAAAGUUAGGGGAUCGAAGAUGAUUAGAUA
rnacentral:rRNA from 1 species